UGCGUCCUUCCAGCCUUCCUUAGUGUUAUUAAUUAAGGGAAAGGCUACUCGUGUUAGAGCUGAAAAAGUGCGUUUAGGUGUGUGUGUCUUCACAUGGCCUUAUUGUUGAAGGGAAAAUAUAUUAUUGUGAAAGGUUACGUAUUUGCAAGUUUGUAAUCUGUGUGUGUGUCGCGUGUCGUUCUGGCUUUCCUUCUUCCUUCGAUAUCAUGAUAAUCAAGAGAAAAGACACGGAUGAGAGGGAGCAUUCACUAUAUCUAUAUUGUAUGUUCUAUGUUCGUUCUACUUUCGCUCUUUUUACAUUCAUUGGUGUUAUUGAUAAAGGGAAAAAAAGGGUGCGAUAAUUGUCUCUAAUAUAGUUUAUUUGUUCUACGUCAUUAUGUCUCUUCCCGUAUCAUUAAUGAAAAAGAAGAUUGUUAGUGUAAGAUGCUAUUCUUUAAAGGAGUUUGUGAUCAUGUGUUCUACGUCCUUUUAGAUUUUCUCAUUCUUUGCGUUAUCAUAGCAAAGGUUAUUUGUGUGUGACAAAUUAAGUUCUUGCUCCCACUCUCCUUGGUAAUACUGAUCAAGGAAAGGGUUAUUCACUGAGGUAACUAAUAUGCAUUAUAUGUUCUAUGUCCGUAUUAUAUUCUUUAAUUUUUAGUAAUGCCAUGACAAACAUACUGGUGAGUGUAAUAGGUGUUUAAAGUUCUUGUUCCUCAGUAAUAUUAAGGGAAGAUUUAUUCGCUGAAGUAGUUUAUAUAUAAUGUGUUCUACGUCUCCAUUCUUCUUAGUGUAAAAAUCGAUGGGUAAGGUUACUGACGUGAAAGAUUAUUCACUAAAGGAGUUUAUGUUAUGUUUUUCGUCCUUCUUUGGCUCUUUACAUGGCGUUGUUUGGAUUGAUUGAUAGUUUAUUGUUGCAAGUAAACAACAAAGGAGAAGGGAGGAACAUGCCAUCCCAACCCCCAGGCAGUACAUAGUGUGAUUAUACAACUAAGGAUACAUGUGGAAGUAGCACCAGGAAACUAAAAAGACACAAUGGUGAGGACACAAGAAAGAGGUCGGUGUGAAAGAUUGUUUGCUAAAAUGUUAGAUGUACUUCCAUGUUUUCCAAGCGUUAAUAAUGAAGGUAAAGGUUAUUCACUAAAAAAAAAUUAUAGGUAUAUGUCUCUUUCGAUCCUUUCUUAGUGUUAUCAACGGAAAGACAAAAAACUAUUCGGUUAAAAAAAUGCACGUGACAGGUAUUUGUGAAAUGCUUAUUUGAAGCUGUUCAGCGGCGUAAGAUUAUUCGUUUAUGAUUUAGUUAUUUUUUUCUUUCAAAGAGCAGAAUUUAAGUGAUUGACAUUAUGUUGUGUUAAGCUUAUACAGGGUCACAGUUAUCGUAUGAGAGAGCAUUCAUGACUUCAUUUGUGUCUGUGAAAGUAUCAGAAGACCGGCGAUGUUAGAAUGUUAAUUACAGGUUAACUGAGUGCUUUAGCUACUCAUCGACUCAGGUGAAUGGAAUUGGGGUUUAUCAACACGGUUCAUAGUGACUAGCAAUGAAGAAGAAAGAAGAAGAAGAAGAAGAAGAAGAAGAAGAAGAUGGAGAAAAAAAAAGAGGAAGAAGAAUAAAUAAAAUCAUGUAUAACUUCCAAAUAAGCAAUCAAUCAAGCAAGUAGAAGAAAAGAAGAAGAAGAAGAAGAAAAAGAAGAAGAAGAAAAAGAAGAAAAAAAAGAGGAAGAAGAAAAUGAAGGAACAAACAAAUAGACAAACGAAUAAGCAAACAAACUAACAUAAUUACAAACAAAACAAACACAAAGAAGAAGAAGAAGAAGAAGAAGAAGAAAGAAGAAGAAGAAGAAGAAAGAAGAAAAUUAAGGAGGAAGAACAAGAACAAGAAGCUGAAGAACAAGAAAUAAGCAAACACACAAAAAUUACAUUAAUACAAACACGAAAAAGAAGAGGAAGAAGAAGAAGAAGAAGAAGAAGAAGAAGAGAGACUAAUGAGCUCUGUGGUUAAGUGACCUUGUGGGACGCCAGACUGAACGGUGGAGGAGGGAGGAAGAGGCGACAGGAAGAGGAAGCGAUAGCAAGAGGAUAUGAAGCGUUAGGAGAAAAGGAAGAGGAAGCAAUCGGGGAAAUAUGAAGCGUUAGAAAAAAAGAGGAGGAAGAGGAAAAGAUAAGAAGAGAGGGAUGACUAUGAAGAAGACGAGUGAAGAGGAAGCAAUAGAAAAAGAGAAAGAGGAAACAAUCGCAGGAAUAUGAAGCGUAAGAAAAAAAGAAGAGGAGGAAGAGGAAAAUAUUAAAAGAGAGGGAUGACUAGGAGAAAGACGAGUGAAGAGGAAAAAGGUAGGAAAAGAGGAAGAGGAAGCGACAGGAGAAGUAUGAAGCGUUAGAUAAAAAAAGAGGAAAAAUAAACGAUAGGAAGAGAUAGAUAAGGAGGAGAAAGAAGUGUUAAAAGGAGGCAAGAGGAGGAUGAUGAAGCGUUAGGAAAAGAGGAAGAGGAAGCGACAGGAGAACUAUGAAACAUUAGAUAAAAAAAAGAGGACAAGGAAACGAUAGAAAGAGAUAAAUAAGGAGGAGAAAGAAGUGUAAGAGGAGGCAAGAGGAGGAAGAAGAAGCGUUAGGAAAAGAGGAAGAUGAAGCAACAGGAGAAGUAUGAAGCGUUAGAGAAAAGAAGAGGGAGGGAUAGGAGGCGAAUGAAGAGUUAUGUGAAAAAAGAAAAGCAAGAAUAAGGGCAACAAGGAGGAUGAGCGUUAGAAAAAGGAAGAGGAAGAGGAAACGGCAGAAGAAUGAAGGAUUAUACAAAGAAAAGGAAAUGGCAGAAGAAUGAGCAGGACAAUGAAGCGUUAGAAAAAGGCGAAGAUGAAGCGAGAGAAGGAGAAUGGCGCGUUAUAAGAAAGGGAAAAGAAAGAGAAAGAUGAUGAGAAUAGAGUGAAGAGUUAGGGGAGGAGGAUGAAGUGAGAGAAAGAGAAUGGAGUUAGAAAAAUGAGAUGAAGAGUAUAAGCGAGACAAGGAGAAUGAAGCGUUAGAAAAAAAGAAGAGGAAGCGGUAGAAGAAGAAAGAAAAGAAAAGGGA